ensembl:lncRNA
UAAUGUCCCAACUAGAGGUCUGGGUUUGAGUUAAUGUCCUACUAGAGAUCUGGGUUUGGGGUAAUGUCCUCCUAGAGCUUUGGGUUUGGGGUAAUGUCCUACUAGAGCUUUGGGUUUGGGGGUAAUGUCCUACUAGAGUGUUGGGGUAAUGUCCUAUUAUAGGUCUGGUUUUGAGUUACUUUUCUACUAGAGAUCUGGGUUUCGAGUAAUGUCCUACUAGAGGUUUGGGGUAAUGUCCUACUAGAGAUCUGGGUUUGAGUUACUGUCCUACUAGAGCUCUGGGUUUGGGGUAAUGUCCUACUAGAGCUCUGGGUUUGGGGUAAUGUCCUACUAGAGCUCUGGGUUUGGAGUAAUGUCCUACUAGAGGUCUGGGUUUGGGGUAAUGUCCUACUAGAGGUCUGGGUUUGAGUUAAUGUCCUGCUAGAGAUCUGUGUUUGGUGUAAUAUCCUACUAGAGGUUUGAGUUUACUGUCCUACUAGAGCUCUGGGUUUGGAGUAAUGUCCUACUAGAGCUCUGGGUUUGGAUUACUGUCCUACUAGAGCUCUGGGUUUGGAGUAAUGUCCUACUAGAGAUCUGGGUUUGGAGUAAUGUCCUACUAGAUAUCUAGGUUUGGGGUAAUGUCCUAAUAGAGGUUUGGGGUAAUGUCCUACUAGAGGUCUGGGUUGGGGUAAUGUCCUACUAGAGGGUUGGGUUUGGGGUAAUGUCCUACAUUACUUUAUCGAACAAAACAUACAUGUAUUUUGUAACAUGAAGUCCUAUGAGUCUCACCUGAUGAAGAUCAUCAAAGGUUAGUGAUUAAUUUUCUCUAUUUCUGCUUUUUGUGACUCCUCUUUGACUGGAAAAAUGGCUGUGUUUUUCUGUGACUUGGCGCUGACCAUGGUAUGCUUUCGUCGUAAAGCCUUUUUGAAAUCGGACACUGUGGUGGGAUUAACAACAAGUUUAUCUUUAAAAUGGUGUAUAAUACAUGUAUGUUUGAGGAAUUGUAUUUAUGAGAUUAUGUUGUUUGAAUUUGCCAUCCUGCACUUUCACUGGCUGUUGUCAAAUCGUAAGAAGUUUUAAUUUCCUGCUAGAGGUCUGGGUUUGGGGAAAAUGUCCUACUAGAGCUUUGGGUUUGGUAAUGUCCUACUAAAGCUUUCGGAUUGGGGUAAUGUCCAACUAGAGGUCUGGGUUUGGG